GACGUGGGCGGUUCGCUGCCCCGCGACGUUGUGAGAAGUCCACUGAACCUUAUCAUUUAGAGGAAGGAGAAGUCGUAACAAGGUUUCCGUAGGUGAACCUGCGGAAGGAUCAUU
rnacentral:rRNA from 1 species